rnacentral:pre_miRNA from 1 species
GAAGAACGCGCUUCUAAGAGCGAGAGGAUUGGGGUUGUCGAGGAAACAACCGAGUCCUAACUCUGCCAAUAUUGGUCGAGAUGGGAAACUUGUUAUCUCCCGAUGCCACCUAAUCCUUUGGUUCUUAAGGGCUUCUUCCUCUU